UACAAGCCCUUAGUAAGCUUCCAUCUUGGUUUCUUCUACCUUUUCAUUUUCACAAUUCAACAAAGAUUGAAACUUUUUUUUUUUUUUUUUUGGAUUUUUGUUGGCCACUGUCAGAUUAUUCUGAUUGAAUUGAUUGUGCACAAGAAGAAAGCUUAUACCCAUUUCCUCUACAAUUUGAUUUUCUCACAAGCUCCCGCCUUUGAGGGUUUAUUGUGGAAGAAAUCCUCCAACACUGUGGCCCUCAAGGUUGGAUUCUUCUAGGAGCACCUCCCAUGUUUGUCUCAAUGACUGGAUAUUAGAUGAUAUUG